GUCACAGGUCUAUAGUACUGGUCUGUGUCUUUAGUCACAGGUCUAUAGUCUAUAGUACUGGUCUGUGUCUUUAGUUACAGGUCUAUAGUCUAUAGUACUGGUCUGUGUCUUUAGUUACAGGUCUAUAGUACUGGUCUGUGUCUUUAGUCACAGGUCUAUAGUCUAUAGUACUGGUCUGUGUCUUUAGUCACAGGUCUAUAGUACUGGUCUGUGUCUUUAGUCACAGGUCUAUAGUCUAUAGUACUGGUCUGUGUCUUUAGUCACAGGUCUAUAGUCUAUAGUACUGGUCUGUGUCUUUAGUUACAGGUCUAUAGUCUAUAGUACUGGUCUGUGUCUUUAGUUACAGGUCUAUAGUCUAUAGUACUGGUCUGUGUCUUUAGUCACAGGUCUAUAGUCUAUAGUACUGGUCUGUGUCUUUAGUUACAGGUCUAUUGUCUAUAGUACUGGUCUGUGUCUUUAGUCACAGGUCUAUAGUCUAUAGUACUGGUCUGUGUCUUUAGUUACAGGUCUAUAGUCUAUAGUACUGGUCUGUGUCUUUAGUUACAGGUCUAUAGUCUUUAGUACUGGUCUGUGUCUUUAGUCACAGGUCUAUAGUCUAUAGUACUGGUCUGUGUCUUUAGUCACAGGUCUGUAGUCUAUAGUACUGGUCUGUGUCUUUAGUCACAGGU